UACGUAGGGGGCAAGCGUUGUCCGGAUUUACUGGGCGUAAAGCGCCUGUAGGCGGCCUGUCAAGUCCGGCCUGAAAGCCCCCCGCUCAACGGGGGAGGGUGGCUGGAAACUGGCAGGCUUGAGGGCGAGAGAGGAGGGUGGAAUUCCUGGUGUAGCGGUGAAAUGCGCAGAUAUCAGGAAGAACACCGGUGGCGAAGGCGGUUCUCUGGGACGGUACUGACGCUGAGACGCGAAAGCGUGGGGAGCGAACAGG
rnacentral:rRNA from 1 species